rnacentral:rRNA from 1 species
GAUGAACGCUGGCGGCGUGCUUAACACAUGCAAGUCGAACGGAAAGGCUCCUGCUUGCAGGGGUACUCGAGUGGCGAACGGGUGAGUAACACGUGGGUGAUCUGCCCUGCACUUCGGGAUAAGCCUGGGAAACUGGGUCUAAUACCGGAUAGGACGAUGGUUUGGAUGCCAUUGUGGAAAGUUUUUCGGUGUGGGAUGAGCUCGCGGCCUAUCAGCUUGUUGGUGGGGUAAUGGCCUACCAAGGCGUCGACGGGUAGCCGGCCUGAGAGGGUGUACGGCCACAUUGGGACUGAGAUACGGCCCAGACUCCUACGGGAGGCAGCAGUGGGGAAUAUUGCACAAUGGGCGCAAGCCUGAUGCAGCGACGCCGCGUGGGGGAUGACGGCCUUCGGGUUGUAAACUCCUUUCGCUAGGGACGAAGCGCAAGUGACGGUACCUGAAGAAGAAGCACCGGCUAACUACGUG